UCUCCUUCGGGGGGCAAGUAGAGUGGCGCACGGGUGAGUAACACGUAGGUAAUCUACCUUCGGAUGGGGAAUAACAACCGGAAACGGUUGCUAAUACCGCAUAAUGCAGCGGCACCUAAUGGUGACAGUUGUUAAAGCGGGGGAUCGAAAGACCUCGCGUCUGAAGAGGAGCCUGCGGCGGAUUAGCUAGUUGGUAAGGUAAUGGCUUACCAAGGCGACGAUCCGUAACCGGCCUGAGAGGGCGGUCGGUCACACUGACACUGACAUACGGGUCAGACUCCUACGGGAGGCAGCAGUCGGGAAUUUUGGGCAAUGGGCGAAAGCCUGACCCAGCAACGCCGCGUGAAGGAUGAAAUCCCUCGGGAUGUAAACUUCGCAAGAACGGGAAGAAUAAGUAGGGGAUAAUACCCCCUAUGAUGACGGUACCGUUUGUAAGCUCCGGCUAACUCCGUGCCAGCAGCCGCGGUAAUACGGGGGGAGCAAGCGUUGUUCGGAUUUACUGGGCGUAAAGGGCGCGUAGGCGGCCAGCACAAGUCAGUUGUGAAAUCUCCGAGCUUAACUCGGAACGGUCAACUGAUACUGUGCGGCUAGAGUGCGGAAGGGGCAACUGGAAUUCUUGGUGUAGCGGUGAAAUGCGUAGAUAUCAAGAGGAACACCUGCGGCGAAGGCGGGUUGCUGGGCCGACACUGACGCUGAGGCGCGAAAGCUAGGGGAGCGAACGGG
rnacentral:rRNA from 1 species